rnacentral:rRNA from 1 species
UACGUAGGGGGCAAGCGUUAUCCGGAAUUACUGGGUGUAAAGGGAGCGUAGACGGUGAUGUAAGUCUGGAGUGAAAGGCGGGGGCCUAACCCCCGGACUGCUCUGGAAACUAUGUGACUGGAGUGCAGGAGAGGUGAGCGGAAUUCCUAGUGUAGCGGUGAAAUGCGUAGAUAUUAGGAGGAACACCAGUGGCGAAGGCGGCUCACUGGACUGUAACUGACGUUGAGGCUCGAAAGCGUGGGGAGCAAACAGG